rnacentral:snRNA from 1 species
GCUCAAUUCAGCAGCAUAUAUAAUUGAAAUGAUUCAGAGAAUAUUACCAUGGCCUCUGCAAAGGGUGACACGCCGAUUCAUGAAACAUUUCAUAAUUUU